AGUGAACGCUGGCGGUAGGCCUAACACAUGCAAGUCGAACGGCAGCACGGUAAGAGCUUGCUCUUACGGGUGGCGAGUGGCGGACGGGUGAGGAAUACAUCGGAAUCUACUUUUUCGUGGGGGAUAACGUAGGGAAACUUACGCUAAUACCGCAUACGACCUACGGGUGAAAGCAGGGGAUCUUCGGACCUUGCGCGAUUGAAUGAGCCGAUGUCGGAUUAGCUAGUUGGCGGGGUAAAGGCCCACCAAGGCGACGAUCCGUAGCUGGUCUGAGAGGAUGAUCAGCCACACUGGAACUGAGACACGGUCCAGACUCCUACGGGAGGCAGCAGUGGGGAAUAUUGGACAAUGGGCGCAAGCCUGAUCCAGCCAUACCGCGUGGGUGAAGAAGGCCUUCGGGCUGUAAAGCCCUUUUGUUGGGAAAGAAAAGCAGCAGGUUAAUACCCCGCUGUUCUGACGGUACCCAAAGAAUAAGCACCGGCUAACUUCGUG
rnacentral:rRNA from 1 species